CCGGAGCGCGAGCCGCCCUGACGUCACGGGCCGCCCGCCGGCCCCGCGCUCCGCCGGGCAGAGCGCGUGCGGCCGCCGCCGAGCACAUGGGCCCUCGGGCCGGGCAGGCGCGGGCCGGACUGGACCCGGAGGAGCAGCUCAGGGGCCGCGAGCCAGGACGGGCCCUGCUCCCCCCAGGCUCCCCCGAGUGGAUUUCCACGCGGCAAGGAUGUUGGCGGCCCCGGUGCCACGGCUGGGAUCCACCUUCCAGCCUGAUCUCUGGACCACAAAGGAGUUAAAACGAUACACGCCCGCUCCCCCCACCCCGUGGCCGUACCUGUCCGCUGCAUGGAGCGUCACUUGAGGAUUUCCCGCGCGUGUGGAUUUACAAGAUGUCCAGCUGCUGCGGAAUCGCGCCGGUGGAGCCUGCUUGGUGACACACUGCUGGGUGCUCAGGGUGUGCGGGAAGCCGAGCCUCGUGGAUUCCGCAGCCAGGAUGCCCGGGGGGACGGAGGACCCCAGCUUCCUGAGCUCGCAUCGUGGACAGGAAUGUUUGCCUGGGUCUCUCCAGAUCCCUGCGGGGCUCCCCAGGAAACGAUCCUGGGAUUUAGGUGCCUUUCGCCUGAAAACACACGUGUCCAUUCAACACUCCGGAGGGACCCGAGUGCUGGUCUUCCCUGGACUCCAGCGGUAACGCCUUGAGCUUGGAGGAGGGAGCACGGUCCCUGGCAGCGGCGUGUCUUAAACUGCGCGCCCAUCACUUUGGGACCGUUCUCCUCCUGCAAACCAGAACGGUUGAAUGCCACCCCAGGCUGAACGUCCUCCUGGAGUGUUAACCGUGGCGGUGGAACUGAUAUAGUUCAUCGGCACUGCAUUGCACCAUGGACUUGGAUUCCUCUGAAGCCUUAGUAUGACCGGGAGGUCUCAUUAGUUGCUGUACCAGCCACUGAAAAAGCAUGAAGAGUCAGGACAAGCUGUAGAAGGGCUGGUCUCUGCAGAGGUGCAGUGGAGAACUGCUGGUCAUGCCUGAAGUGCCAGCAUUGGAUGGAUUAAAACAGCAACACCAUUAGCAGCCACCUGCAUGGACACUCGAUGGCACUGUUCUGCUCCAUUAGCUAGAUCUCGUUCACUUCUGACAUCCAAAACCAGCAUAGCAUCCAGUGACCAGGGCUCUGGUCAGGACCAUUUUUGAUCUGCGGCUGGUUGAAUCGAUGGAUACGGCACCUGAGAAUGUAGAGGGCAGACUUCACUGACUGCCAUGUUGUGAACAGACCUAUUGAGAAAUCCACAUGGUGAUGUAACAGGACUCUGAUCAACAGCCAGCGAAGACCUGAGACCUGGAUUGCUGCUAAAUUUCUCCCUGCUGACUUGUCUGGGCUGAUGAGGCACUUUCUGCACUGGGAAAACGAAGACUGUGAUGUCAUCCCCUCUCUGACACCCUUAUGAUGUAACGUCCUGAAGACUGCAAGGCUCUUGUGCAAGAAGCACGCACCCAGGCCUCACAAGGUUGACUGUCAUCGAGCACUGUGAUGGCUCUCUCAAAGCCCAGGGCUGUCUGGAACAUGGUGUCAUUUGCUCCAAUGAGACUUGCUGGAAAACCUACGGGGACAAGACAUCUUUAUGCGUUGGCCAUUGUGGAGAAUUUCCAGAGAACUGGACACCAGGACCAUGGGGGCUGCUUCUCACAAUUUAUUUAUUUAUUUUUCUCCAAGAGCUGGUGGGAGAAUUUAUCUCUGGGUAUUAUCCAAUCUGUAUUCUGACCCCUCAUAUUCACUCAACUAAUGGCGGCUUAAGGAAUCAUCUUUUCCAGGGAUCAAAACUUUAUAGUAAGAAUAGCUAACUUUCUUUGACUACUAUUCCCCAAGAGCUCCGUUAAGAGUUUUACAUGCAUUUUCACAUUUAACUCUACAAGGAAGAUACAUUUUUUUUUUUUUUACUUUAAGACAAAUGAGGCAUGGAGAACCUAAAUAACUUGCCCAAGAUCACAAAGCUACUGAGUCCUAGAGCUACAAAAUGAACCCAGCUGUGUCUGAUCGACUGCCAGAAGGACUAAAUAAGAUAAUGCAUGGAAAGGACUUGCCCAAGUAUUUGGUACAGAGUAGGCACUCAAUAAAUGUUAGCUAUUAUUAUUGCAUACUCUGUCACCCUCUUUUUUUGGACAAUGGAAUGUGGCAGAGAGGGCAGUUAAUGAUGCAAGCCUGUUGGUGCCCUCAAGUACCCACUGACUGACUCCUUUGCCUGCCACUCACCCUACUGGGCACCAACCCAGGGCUCUAAGGGAAGCCAUGACUUAUUCCAGCCAAUGGCAAUUAGCUGUCACUUGACUUAACAUUUUGUAACAGGGCUUGGCCCAUGCCAGUUAUGACUCCUGGGGGGUCAUAUGUCACCAGGACAUAACUCUUGAAGAUCUUUUCUUUCCUGAGGCCCUGGAUUCAGCAGCCCCUGGGAAAUAACCCAAAUGUAUUACAACUGUUGUGUGCUAUAUAAAGACAUGUUGGAGAUGGAGUUGGUCCAGGAGGGAUAAGGAGAAGGAAAGCAGUGUGGUUGGGGACCACAGGACCAAGGAUCUUGGCUUAGCAAAUCAAUUAAUUAACCUUGUCUCUUGAGAAAUUCUAACCUUUGUGACAUUGGCCUUAAUGGGACCUUGGUGUGGCACUGCAACGGACCAGGGAUUGGGGGUCAGGCAGUUUGGAGACUUUUAUAAAUAGCAUUUAAUUCUGUUUGUAAAACUAGCCUGUGAGGUGUCUGUUAUUUCAUAAAUGAGGAAACUGAGGCUCAAUGUGUCCAUUUUGAGAUGGUUUGAGCCCUUUCCCCCUCUUCUCUCUCCCAAGGUGGGGGAUGUCUAGUAACCAUUUCUAACCAUUUAUGUCCAAACAGAACCUUUGAAUUCCGUUCCCCAAACCUCCCGAAGCUUGCUCUUCCCCCAACCUCCACGUCUUAUUGGCGGACACUCUCAUGUAUCCAGUUCCUUAAGCCAAAACCGAGGGAUCUUCCUGGAUUUCACCAAUCCCCUUAUGCCCCACAGCUCCACUUCACUGAGACCUCUUACCUCCAUCUUGAAAACAUUUCCCAAAUCCAUGUGCUUUGCUCCAAAUAAACCAAAACCUUCCUAGUCAACGCCCCAUCCUCACCCACCUUGACCCCUCUAUUACCUUCCUAACUGGUUGUCAUCUUCCUUUGCCCCGCUCCAAUCUGCUCUCUACACAGUUACCGAGCAGAUGUUUUCCCCAAUGAAAAUACGCUCCGUCUCUGAUCUGUGUAACAUCCUCAAAUACGACACUUAAAGUAAAACCCCCAUUCCUUACACUAAGCCUGUGGCAUUCCUCCAGAUCAGGACCCUGAGUCCGUUCUGGAUAUCAUCUCCUACUUCAAGCCACACCGGGUUCUUUAUGUUCCUCUAACACUCCAACUUUUCAUCAGUGUUGGGGGCUUUGCUCUAGUCUAGCUAGUUCCUCCCACUGGCUCCCUUUGGCCUCAGAGCUGCCUGGGGCUCCUUCUUAUGGUUCCUUCUAAGUCCAAACAUAACUUUCUCAUGGCUAACCCUGUCCACCCAACUUAGUGUAAAUCCUCCCCCUGAAUCGCUCUCUUUCAUGUCACUCCCAAUAAAAAACAUCAAAGAAUCACCCUUAUGAUGUAACUGCCACAUUCCAUUGCCCAGGUGUGUGUCUCCGUCUGAUAUUAUCUUAUUGAUUUGGUUUUGUAUUUAUUGCCCAUCUCUUCCAACUAGAAAGAGUGUGAAAUCCACGGAGCAAGGAUUGUGACUCCUGGUGCUCGCUGCCAUGUCUACAUUGCUGAGCCAAUGGUCUGAAACAGGGUGUUUGUUGAUUGAAUAAAUGACUACCAUUCUAAGGCUA